UUAAAUACAACAAACAUUUUGCACUAUUAAUUCGUUUAAUACCCGGAUCGUUGUGCAUCUAAUUACGCAAUAAUUAGAUAACCACAAUAUGUAACGUUUUUACACUCAUGGUCACAUACGUCGAUUAUUGAAACAAGCAGAAUUUAUUGCACAUUUAGAAAGACUAACAUCACACAGAAUUUUUCACAAUAAGUGGAUACAUCCUCGUAUAAGAUUAUUAAUACAGUUGCGGCGCGAUAUUUCCAGAAAAAUGGUAGUGUCUUUUCGCGUUCAAAUUAUUUUCAGGUUAAAGAACCGUAUUCUAAGAUACCCACCCAUUUAAUGGAAGCUUUAUACGUGCUGGCCGUCAAGACAUCUCGCAAAAGUUCAGAAGAAAAUUGGAAAUCUGAUGACAAAAAAUGUGUUUCUAUGAUAAUAUUGUAGAAAUGAUAACCAAUAUAGAAGAACAAAUACGGGAAGUGAAAGCACAUUGUUAUCCUAAAUUAAUGACUAAAAUCGGAAAUCCUUACUCUGACAUGUUUUCAGAAGAAACAUGCAACAAGACUAUGACGCUGUAAAUAAUUGAUAUAUUGCACAUAUUGCGUGCAAGUAUUCUAUACCAAAUAAUGGUAGAUUAACAGUUCGAUGACGCAGUUCUUUGCUGCUUACAGUACUGGGAACCUCCGCUCUAAUGCAAUAUAAUGUAGUCUGCACAAAGCUAACAAAUAUGCCUUACAGAUGUCGCCACAAAACUGCUUUCUCUGUAUCUAUUUUUUGAAGCCGUAUAAGCUUGUUCUUGUGGCAUGUUUUCUUUUUUCAAGGAAAAAAAAUAUUUAGUUUUUGAAAAAUGCUUUGAUGUGUGUGUAAUGAAUAGAAAGUUUUGAAUUGUAAGAUUAUAUUUCUGAGCAAGAUUAUAUCUUUUUGAGCUAAUAUAGUUGAGCAAAGAAACAUGUAGUAAUCGACCUAUACUUUUGUAUUUUUUCUUCUAAGGGACCAAAAGUUUGUCUUUGAAUAUGUAUUAGUAUAAUAUAUCUAGUGAUUAAUAUUGUGACUACUCUUGGUUUCCGCAGCUAUAUGCAAUAAGCUAUAUCUAUAAUUGUGCUUUGUAUCUUUGUUUAGAGUUUAACUUGAUCGAGAAAAUAUACGCGGUUAAUUAUAUAAAUUAGUAUACUAUAAUAUUAGUGUUACUUUCGCGUACGGUUUGUUUCUCACUGGAUAUUUCUUGUUUAUAUCGAUGUUAAACAAGAAUAUAAUAAACAAGAAUAAUCUAAGUAAUAUAGAUAUAUUUAAGGUCGGCGAGUUCGAAGCAAAUGCAGGAUAUUAUACAAAUUAAUGUGUAAAAUACUAAACUUCAGUGUAUCAAUACAUUUUAACGUUAAAUCUUCAGGUGAUAUAAAAUAUUACUAUAUAAAAUAUUAUGUAAUAUAAGUAAUAGGCUCAAAAAAGAUUAAUUCGCUUAAUUUAUACAUCUACAUUGGAAUAACCGUUACAAAGGUUACUUUUCGUAACUCUAUUGUAUGUAAAAAAGUAAUCUAAAACUUCAAAGUUUGUUGUAAUUUAACAAUAAUCGCGAUUGACGUAUAAUUAUUGAUAAGAUCAAAGUACGUAAAUAAUUAACAAUACUUACUGUGUAGAAUAAACGCUCUAAAUAGUUAAUAAUGUUAAUAAUGUUCGAAUGUUCUGCCAUUUAUUUGAAUAAAUGUGUUAAGUAAAAAUUGUUUAUAAUAUGCAUUUAAACGGUAGGUUUAACGCAGUUUUUAUAUAUUCGAUUAUUACGCAGCCGCCCUUAUCCACUGAGAAAAUCAGCAGUUGAGAAUUAUAUAGCCAAAAAAUAUUGCGGAGAGUAUAAAUUAUAAUCUGAACAAAUUAAUUUGCAAACUGUAUGCUGGUUUUUUUGACGACACACCGUAGCGCGAUAGCAAAAUUUCACCGUAAAACAUACAAGUUUUUUGUCUUACUUGUGUUUCAGAUAUUUCUAAUUUCUUUAUAAUGCACUAAGGCAAUUUUAUACAUAUUCAUAUUUAAACAUUGAAGAGCA